AGUGAACGCUGGCGGUAGGCCUAACACAUGCAAGUCGAACGGCAGCACAGUAAGAGCUUGCUCUUACGGGUGGCGAGUGGCGGACGGGUGAGGAAUACAUCGGAAUCUACUUUUUCGUGGGGGAUAACGGAGGGAAACUUACGCUAAUACCGCAUACGACCUACGGGUGAAAGCAGUGGAUCUUCGGACCUUUCGCGAUUGAAUGAGCCGAUGUCGGAUUAGCUAGUUGGCGGGGUAAAGGCCCACCAAGGCGACGAUCCGUAGCUGGUCUGAGAGGAUGAUCAGCCACACUGGAACUGAGACACGGUCCAGACUCCUACGGGAGGCAGCAGUGGGGAAUAUUGGACAAUGGGCGCAAGCCUGAUCCAGCCAUACCGCGUGGGUGAAGAAGGCCUUCGGGUUGUAAAGCCCUUUUGUUGGGAAAGAAAAGCAGCAGGUUAAUACCCCGCUGUUCUGACGGUACCCAAAGAAUAAGCACCGGCUAACUUCGUG
rnacentral:rRNA from 1 species